AAAUGGGUUAAUUGAUGAGUUUGCUAAAGGGUCUAUUUACAAAGGCCUGGAAAGUGUUAAGGUAAGCAGUACCCAAGAAGGAAGUUAACACCCCAGCAAUACCCAGCUGGAAACUGCUACCACCCUAAGCCUAAAGGCAAGAGAAGGGAAAGAUAGCCAGAACUCAGCAUAGGUGCUUUCUGUGGUCUUUGAUGGAGGGACAGCAACUGCACAAGCAAUCUGACAAGAAAGAAGCCAAAGAAACAAAUACCUUGGCCUCACUCCCUUCCAGCCUCCCUAUCCUCUGCUGUGCCUUCCAUUGGCCAAAUCCUAUGAAACCAGAGGACAAGAAAACCUUUUGAUUCAGUUCAUGAUAGUUGGAAUCCCCAGACAUGGAGUAGGGGGAUAGAAGGUAGAGAUGGGUAAAAAGUGAGGAGUGAUUUUGGGGGACAAAUGGAACUAGCAGCUGGGGAUUACAACUUAGAGUACAACUAUUUAUUGUAUAAAAAAUAUUGAGAACAUUUCUGAAAGUGAAAACCGUUGGAAAGUCACAUUAUUCCUGCUUCCUUUCUUUUUUAAAAUCAUUGAAAUGUUAAAUUAUGGAAACCUAGAAGACAGCUUUAGGCAGUACAGGGAAGCUAUGCAGCCACAUGUGGGUUGUUCA
rnacentral:lncRNA from 10 species